UACGUAGGGUGCGAGCGUUAAUCGGAAUUACUGGGCGUAAAGCGUGCGCAGGCGGCUUUGCAAGACAGAUGUGAAAUCCCCGGGCUCAACCUGGGAACUGCAUUUGUGACUGCAAGGCUAGAGUACGGCAGGGGGGGAUGGAAUUCCGCGUGUAGCAGUGAAAUGCGUAGAUAUGCGGAGGAACACCAAUGGCGAAGGCAAUCCCCUGGGCCUGUACUGACGCUCAUGCACGAAAGCGUGGGGAGCAAACAGG
rnacentral:rRNA from 1 species